CCUACGGGGGGCAGCAGUGAGGAAUAUUGGUCAAUGGACGAGCGUCUGAACCAGCCAAGUAGCGUGAAGGAUGACUGCCCUAUGGGUUGUAAACUUCUUUUAUAAAGGAAUAAAACGAGGCACGUGUGCCUUUUUGCAUGUACUUUAUGAAUAAGGAUCGGCUAACUCCGUGCCAGCCGCCGCGGUAAUACGGAGGAUCCGAGCGUUAUCCGGAUUUAUUGGGUUUAAAGGGAGCGUAGAUGGGUUGUUAAGUCAGUUGUGAAAGUUUGCGGCUCAACCGUAAAAUUGCAGUUGAAACUGGCAGUCUUGAGUACAGUAGAGGUGGGCGGAAUUCGUGGUGUAGCGGUGAAAUGCUUAGAUAUCACGAAGAACUCCGAUUGCGAAGGCAGUUCACUGGACUGCAACUGACACUGAGGCUCGAAAGUGUGGGUAUCAAACAGGAUUAGAUACCCCUGUAGUC
rnacentral:rRNA from 1 species